rnacentral:lncRNA from 1 species
CUCGGGACCCUGUGCCCCUUAGGGGCCUGAGGGUCUUUCAGAUAUUCCUGACUCAUAAACUUCUAAGUGAUUCUUCUGUCUCCAUCUCUUAUCUCACCAUAGGAAUGCUGGAAUUACAGAUGUGUGCCACCACACCUCACUUCCUUACUGGGAUACUGGGGCUCAAACCAGGCAAACAGGCUUGGUUUGCAUGCAGCUUUACCCAUCAAGCCACCUCACUACAAAGUCCCCCUCACAUUUUUUUUUGCCCCUCACAUUUUUUUCAGGUCUUUGCUCAAAAGCACCUCUUAGGGAGGUCUUCCCUGGCUUUCUGAAAUGUCAUGUCUGUUGACAACAUUGUAUAGUGUUUUGUUUUGUUUUUUGAGACAGGAAACAAAAACAAAAUAAAUUAGCUAUUUAAUUCCUUGAAUCUUCUCCAGUGCCUAAGAUGGAGGUCUAUGGUCCUUGAAAUCUGAAUUUACACUGAUAAUUUAACAUGAAAAUUUCCAAUAACCCAAUAAGAUCAUUUAGUGCUGUCCCACUUUUGUACAAGAGAAAAGUGGGAGACAGAAAGAUUAAGACCAUUGAGCUGUGGUCAUGCAGUUAGCAAAUCUGGCACAAGUAAUACUCCAUCCAACGCUUUAGUGACCUUGCUUAGCAUUGUCUGUACUCAAAUUUCUAGCCAUUUAUUUAUUUAGAUUUAUUUUAUUUGUCAUUAUAAGUGUGCGUGGGUAUGUAAGUGUUCUCUGAGGCCAGAAGAGGGCUUCGGAUCUCCUGGAGCCAGAGUUACAGACUGCUGUAAGCCACCCUAAGUGAGUGCUGGGGUAUGAGUUCAGGAUCCUUUGCAACAGCAGCAAGCACUACCCAUCACCAGCUAUCUUAUCAAUGCCAAAGUUCUCAUCUUUUAAAUGAGGCAUUAUGGGCACCAGCUCAUGGUGGGCUCAUGGUGACAAGAGUCUAUGACGGUGACAAGCUCAUCACCUGUCAGAAGCCAGCCUUGACGACCCCCCAUGCCUAGCUAGCCGCCAGCUAGUCUAGCAUCCCACCCCUCAGGUUCCGGGACCUGGCCUGAGAAACAACUAACACCUAUUCCUUCCACCACUUCCUUAGUUAGUUCUUGAGAUAAACACAGGAGAUUCCAGAUACCUGCCUGAGAGCAAUUAACAUUCAUU